rnacentral:tRNA from 1 species
GAGGGUACAGCUCAGUGGUAGAGUAUGUGCUUAGCGUGCACGAGGUCCUGGGUUCAACCCCCAGCACCUCCA